rnacentral:tRNA from 1 species
AAUAAGGUGGCUGAGGUAUAGGCGGUAAAUUGUAAAUUUAUUAACAAGUUGAGAACUUUCUUAUUG